rnacentral:rRNA from 1 species
AUAAGUAUACUGGGGCUAGAGGUGAAAUUCUUGGACCCUCAGUAGACUACCUAUUGCGAAAGCAUUUGCCAAGAAUGUUUUCACUAAUCAAGAACGAAAGUCAGAGGUUCGAAGACGAUCAGAUACCGUCCUAGUUCUGACCAUAAAUGAUAUCAACUAAUUAUUGGCAAAGGCGCUUGUUCGCCCGAGCCAGCAGCCUCCGGGAAACCAAAGUUUUUGGAUCCCGGGGGUAGUAUGGUUGCAAGACUGAAACUUAAAGGAAUUGACGGAAGGGCACCACCAGGAGUGGAGCCUGCGGCUUAAUUUGACUCAACACGGGGAACCUCACCCGGCCCGGACACUCGAAGGAUUGACAGAUUAAUUGCUCUUUCUUAAUUUAGUGGUUGGUGGUGCAUGGCCGUUCUUAGUUGGUGGAGUGAUUUGUCUGGUUGAUUCCGAUAACGAGCGAGACUCACGCCUACUAAAUAGCAGGCUAAUGUCGGUCUCUUGAGACACACCAAUUAGGCAUGUUGCUUCUUAGAGGGAUUUAUGUCUUCCAGACAUAUGAACAGUGAGCAAUAACAGGUCUGUGAUGCCCUUAGAUGUCCGGGGCCGCACGCGCGCUACACUGAAAGCUUCAACGAGUUGUCCUGGCCUGCAAAGGCUGGGUAAUCUGAUUGAAUAGUUUUCGUGACAGGAAUCGGGGCUUGCAAUUAUCCCCGUGAACGAGGAAUUCCCAGUAAGCAUGAGUCAUCAGCUUGUGCUGAUUACGUCCCUGCCCUUUGUACACACCGCCCGUCGCUACUACCGAUUGAAUGGUUUAGUGAGGUCCUUGGAUUGACGCUGACGAGGUGGUUCUGCCACUUUGUUGGUGUUGAAAAGAAGAUCAAACUUGAUCAUUUAGAGGAAGUAAAAGUCGUAACAAGGUUUCCGUAGGUGAACCUGCAGAAGGAUCA